rnacentral:rRNA from 1 species
UACGUAGGCAGCGAGCGUUGUUCGGAAUUACUGGGCGUAAAGCGUGCGUAGGCGGUGCCUCAAGUUUGGUGUGAAAUCCCUCGGCUCAACCGGAGAACGACGCAUGAAACUGGCAAGCUAGAGUACCAAAGAGGGGGGUGGAAUUCCCGGUGUAGCGGUGAAAUGCGUAGAUAUCAGGAGGAACACCGGUGGUGUAAACGGCUUUCUGGACCAUAACUGACGCUGAGGCACGAAAGCGUGGGUAGCAAACAGG